UGCCCUUUCAACUGCAAUGAGUUCAUGACAUGAAACCAACUACUCUACAUGACUGUGCAACAAAGAUGAAAAAAAUCCCCUUUGUCGUCCAAUACGCUAUUUGUUUUUCCAUAAAGAAACCAUUAAAUCAGUUAUGAGGGAGAGAAUAGUAUAUCUACAACCUAUGAGGCAUGCAGCUAGUGUGCCAGCUUUCCUUUUGUGCAUCUGCUCAGCAAAGCACAGCCAAGAGAUAUUAACAGAUUUGUUUGAAGAUGGUAACAGCAGCAAUGAAGUAACAAUUGUCAUGAAAUGGUUGCAAAGCUAACCCUCCGGCAGAUGCCAAGAGAACCAGCUUUCCUAUGUGCAGGAUGGUCUUUAAGUCACAAUCUACGUGAACAUACCCACAAAUAUUUUGGAUUUUCAACCUGCAGCCAUUCAACUACCACUGCAAGAUUCUAAUCGUGCAAGAGAACAUACAAAUAUACCCCAGUUUUCUA